rnacentral:piRNA from 1 species
UGAUUGAGGAAAACACACAAU